ACAUCUGUCACCCCAUUGAUCGCCAAGGUUGAGUGGGCUGAUCUGGCUGGUUAUAUAUGUGU
rnacentral:snRNA from 1 species